GGGGGGGGGGGGAGGAAAAGUAAGUGAGUGAGGGAAGGAGAACAGGAGCGAAGGAGAGCGGGGAAGAAGAGAGGAGAGCAGACGCUCAGCUGGGUACGCAGCUCAGGCAGAGCUGUACCUCGGAAGAGCUACAGCUCCCUCUUCAUGUCACUGCUGCGAGAUGAGGAAAGCUGUCAUUAUGGCCGAAGUGGAGAUGCACUGGCACAGGUCACUAUCCCUGGAGGCAAUCAAGAACUGUGGAGAUGUGGCACUGAGGGGCAUGGUGGAGACAGAUUGGACACAAUGAACUUAAUGAUCCUUUCCAACCUUGAUGAUGCUGUGAUGCUGUGCAGACUUUUGUGAUCCUCCACAUGCAGUCAUACUGCUUGGAAAUUAUCCCAAAAGUUAGGAAAGCAAAGUAGAACAGCUGAUCACACGUUUCCUGAGUCAGCAGUCAAAAAUACGAAGGAAUAUGAAACCUACUCAUUGAGAAAUAGUAUCUGGUGAGAUUUGGUGGGACAAAUUGUCCUGUAUUGGCAGUUAAAACUGUUCAGCUGAACUCUGGCUUGUAGGAAUGUUGUCUUCUGCAAAAUACUGCUUGUUCGUUGAUCAAUAACCUGAAACUGUAAAGACAACAAGGGCUAAACUCUGUCUCCAGCUCAUUUGUGGAUUGAGCUCAGUCCAACAAACAUUUGUUGUGUUUCCAUUGCUGAACUAUGUUUCUAAGGAAAAGCCUAUGGAGUUUUCUCUGCAGGAUCCAACAUUUACUUAUAAUGCAGAUUCCAAAAUGAUGCCUCUGCCUGAACAGAAUAUAUGUAUUUCAGCCAUGAUUAAGAUGAAAACAGUAACUCCCAAACCAGUGGAUUAUUAAGAAGAAUUGAACAAGAAGAAGUUGUACAAAUGAGAAAGAUGCAAGAAAACAAUAUUUUGGGAAAUGGCAAUUAAUGGAAUUGGAUAUAUGUCCCCAGUGACUGGAGAAAGGGAAACACGAUCCUCAUUUUCAAGAAAAGGAGAAAGGAAGACCCAAGGAACAGGCUGAUGAAUUUCACAUCUGUGCCUGGGAAGACUGUGGAACAGAUCCUCCUGGAAGCCAUGUUAAGGCACAAGCAAGACAGAGAGGUAAUCUGUGACAGCCAGCAAGGCUCCACCAAGAGCAGAUCAUACGUGUCUAGUGUAGUGGCUUUUUACAAUAGAGUCAUGGCACCCGUGGACAAAGGAAGGAGGAUGCCUUCCAGAGGAACCUGGACAAAGAAACCAGCAAAAGAAGUCACCAUACAACAUUAGGUCAACUGUAGCAGCAUUGAGGAGGAGCAAUGCAGAGUGACAUGCUUAAGCUGCACAUAUUGAGCAGUUAGCCAAAGUUGUGAAGUUACUGUGGUGUCUCUGGUGGUGCCCAGGAAAUGGAAGCACCACAGCUUAGUCUCCAGACUGGAUAGCAGUAAGGAGCACAGAAACACAUGGGACAGCAUGGUCCACUACCACUGCAGCAUAUCGGUGUAUCAUCGUAAAGUAUUUAAUAUGAACUAGACUUAGAAAAGAAGGAACAAUAACAAUAUUGACGUAAUCUUCCACAAAAUGCAUUUAAAAUCUGUUUCUCACUGAUAUAAAUCUACACUUUAAAA
ensembl:lncRNA